rnacentral:rRNA from 1 species
AUUGAACGCUGGCGGCAGGCCUAACACAUGCAAGUCGAGCGAACGGCGGCCGGGUGAGUACUGUAUGAGGAUCUGCCCGAUAGAGGGGAAUAACUACUAGAAACGGUGGCUAAUACCGCAUACUAUCGGAUGUACCCAUGUGGGAGUAGCUAGUAGGUGGGGUAAAGGUUCACCUAGAGGACGAUCCCUAGCUGGUCUGAGAGGAUGAUCAGCAAAAGGGUGACGGAGACAGGGCCAAGAACCCUGCGGGAGUCAGAAGUGGGGAAUAUGCGACAAUGGGCGGAAGCCUGAUGCAGCGAUGCCGGGUGUAUGAAGAAGGUCUUAGGGUUGUAAAGGACUUGCAGCGGGGAGGCGUUACCCGCAGAGGAAGCAACGGCUAACUUCGUGCCAGCCGUCGCGGUAAUUC